AACGCCACCAUCAAAUCAAUUCAAGACACGACAACGACCAGGCCUAGGAUGAGGUGAACUUGGUGACGGCCUUGGUGCCCUCGGACACGGCGUGCUUGGCGAGCUCGCCAGGGAGGACGAGGCGGACGGAGGUCUGGAUCUCCCGGGAGGUGAUGGUGGGCUUCUUGUUGUACCUCGCCAGCUUGGCGGACUCCCCGGCGAGCUUCUCGAAGAUGUCGUUGAUGAAGGAGUUCAUGAUGGACAUGGCCUUGGAGGAGAUGCCGAUGUCCGGGUGCACCUGCUUGAGCACCUUGAAGAUGUAGAUCUUGUACGUCUCCACGCUCUUCUUGGACUUCUUCUUCCCCUUCUUGUCGCCGCCUUCCUUGGACGCCGGCACCUUCUUCUCCGCCUUGGGCUUCUUGCCCGCGGGGGUCUUCUCCACCGGCUUCUUCUCGGCAGCCUUGGGCGCCAUGGAUGCUGCUGUUGCUGAGUGCUGACUCGAGGGUGCGGGGAGGUUGGGUUUGAAUCGAAGGUCAGGGGAGAUGCAGAUGCUGCGGUGUGGAGAGACGACGGGAGCGGCGAGAUUUAUAUACGGUAAACUGGAAGGAGGAAGGAGGUGGGCAGCGGUUGGUGGAGAGGCUGGUGCCUCGGAUCGAUGGCGUGGAGUGACUCCAGCCGUUUGAUGAUUCCUGGGAUGGACGGACUAGCUGCGCUUGGGCGCGGAUCGGUGACGUGGCGAGAACGUCGCUAGCGGCGCGGGAUAGAUGGCCUGUGGACAACCACGCACUCGGUCGAACGUUACUCCGGCUAUAUUGUGUUCUGGGAUGUACGUACGUACGAGGCGAGGUAGAUGCCAUAUACUCUGGAGUACCACAUUAUGUUAAAAGAAAAAAUCACGUUGCAUAGCAUGAAGGAGAUGCUCAAAAGAUAAAAACAUAAAUAGAGAAGCUCAAAAAAAUGCAUAUAUAAAGUUCACACACCACAGUUCUUUUAAAAAAUAACACGGUAAAAUCAAAGACUUGCAAGUUAAAGUUCGACUUGCAACUAGGAUAAAAUAAACUACAUGCCGGUGGCAUGUCAAGGAUGAACCUAUAGCUGAGAUGGAAAAUAAAACACAGACAAAUAUCAGGAAUCAAAGAUUGGUCAGUGAGAAGAUGGGGAUAAGCCUCGCCGUUGAUCCGGCAAACAAUGACAUAUAUCGGGUCAUAUGAAAAGAAACUUAAGAACAUGACGACACAAAACAAAUGGAACAAGUGAACACGCGACAAAAGAAAAGACGAAGUGAUACAGACAUGCAUAAUUUAGUUUAUACGAACAUUAAAGCAAACAAAAUAGGCUUCUAUAGACUUAGAUGAGCUAAAAACUCGGCUAGGAUUUAGCAGAUCUGAAACAAAACAUCUAGCUACACGAUAAAAAAAAAGAGGGAAUAGAAAAUAACCAACACACAAACAUAAUACUUGCCCACUAAAAAAUGUCAUAUUGGGCGUCACUGGUUCACGCGGAACAAACAAAAAACAGGACACAAUGACAACGAGCACGGUUCAAAAGCAUGUGUUUCCAACAAUAUGUGAGUUAGAUGAAACAUUUUUAACUCUCAUUUAAAUAAGAAUUACCAAACCAAUCUGAAAGGAGACCCAAACUGCGCCAUGAAAACGGUCCAACACAAGACGUGUGCGUGACCAGGUCGAUAAGUAGACACCAACCAAACGACGCGACACAUAACGUGCAUGACAAAAAUAACCCAUGAUCACCAUUUACACGCCAUUAAAAACGAAUAUAUGUCAGAGUGAAAACAAAUUCAUGAAUAUCAAACAAUUAAAUAAAGGGGCAAAAAGAAAAUACAAAUAAAAACAAAAAAUCACGAAUUUUAAGUAGUUCAUAAUUGGAAACAAAUAAUAACAAAGAAAAAAACAAAACAAAACAAACACGAAAACAAAACAAAAAACAAUUACUGGGAGUCAAAUAAAAGUGUACAAAAAUGAAAAGACCUAGAAUUGAGUCGGCACAAAAAAGAAGUAGCAAAAUGCUGUCGACGACGGAUCAAACAAUGGCCCUCUAGAUAUGAGGCUCUCCCGAGGAAUGUGAGUGGACUAUAAACAGUAAACGGAUCCCGUCUUUUCUAUUUAUAGAGAUUGAAAUUGAUGGUGAAUUUACAUGUGAGUCUAACAUCUUUUUAAAAUAAACAAAUACAUGCAUGCACACAUAUAAAAUUGCGAACCUUUCAAGAGACAUAUAAACAAACGUAUUUUACUUAUACGUGGGAUCUAUCAUGAAUAAACAAAUACAAUACUUUCAUGACAGACCAUAUUUCUGUAAAGGACAAAAAUAACAAACACAAAAGUGUGACUUCAACUCAAAAUCGAUAUUGGUUUUAGUUUCUCUUUCCAGCAUACUAUGGUCAUUUGAAAUUCUUUGAUGCAUCAUGCCUCUCAUCGUAUUUUUACCAUCCUUUAGAGCAUCUCUAACACACCCCGUAUAACACCGACCCGUAAAACGUGUUUACAGUUUGUGGAAAAACGAUUUUGCGGGUCGAUGCGGGCGUGAGCAGAGUCACACCCCGUAAAAUGAACCCGUAAAAAAUAAUAUUCUCUGGAGAUACCAAAUUUAGCUCAUUUUUUUCUUCUGGUCGUCCUCUUCCUUACGUCAAUCUAAAAUUGGCACAUACUAUAGGACAGGGCGCCCACCGGCGAACGAGCAAACAAGGAAGACACGGGGCGGGUCGUCGGCUGACGAGCGGCUAGGGCGGGGCACGCGGCGGCCGGACUCCCCUCCGAGCUAGAGCAAGCUAGCUUAUGUUGUGGUUGGGGCUUUGCAACACGAGCUUUGUGUCGCUUGGCUGAACCGUUUUCUACUGUUUGUGCAAAAGAAUGUUGCUAUUGGAACGUGGUUUAUGUUGCGAUCCAAUCCUUUGCAACAUGAUCUAUGUUGCGACUACAACAUGCUUCAUGUUGCAAGCCAAGAGUGAACAUCCACACACGUGUCGAACGCCCGUAAUUGGCUGCUUCGAUGAUGUUGCGACAACAUGCUUCAAUGACGGUAACGGGUGCUUCGGUAACCCUUACGGCGGCAUGCUUCAAACGAUCACGAUGAUGUUGCGAAGACGUGCUUUGACGACCGCGACAAUGUUGUGACACAGGCUCGUCUGCUUCGCCGAUGCUGCGAAAGUGUCCUUCCCGACCAUGGCAAUGUUGCGAUGAUGGCACGACUGCUUCAACGAUGCUACACCAACGGUCUGGCUGGUUCGCUGCUACUGUGAUGGCAUGCUUCAACGGUCGUGGCGACGGAGAAGACGUUAAGAGCAUAUGUCCGCCCGUGGUUAAUUUUUUUUUCUCUUUCCUGUUCGGUCACUGAUCGGGUGCGUCUACACACAUAUGAGGGGUGGUUUGAGACGUCCGGUUGCAGAUGAUCAAGGCUACUCAAAGCAUGCAUCGCUAGUGUUUUGCAUGUAGUGGUGAUGCCCAACUCACUAGGGAAAAUCAAUGGUCACUACCAACUUGCACUAGGCUUGGUGAGAAUGGUUAAUGCAUGCAGUAUGCAUAACGGUCGUCGGAAAGGGAAAAAAAUGUAUUAUUAUUAUUAUUUGCGAAAUGGUACGGUCGUGCAUCUCGAAAAGGAAAAGAAUAUGCUUUAUGCACGCUUUUUUUACAUGAGAGGCAUGGUUUUGCUUCCGUGGGAGGCACGGUUUUGCCUUCGUGAGAGGCACGACCGUGCCUCUCGAAAAUGGGAAAAAACGUGUUUUACUUUCUUUUUUCGUGAGAGGCACGCUUUUGUUUCUGCGGAAGGCACGAUUUUGUUAUCGCCUCUCGGUAAUGAAAAAAUACGCGUUUUCUGCUCUCUCUCUCUCUCUCUUCCGCGAGAGGCACGGUUUUACUUUCACGAGAAGCAUAAUUUUGCCUUCGUGAGCUCUCGAAAUGGUAAAAACUCAUUUUCCAAUUUUUUUCUAUCACGUGAGGCACGGUUUUUUGUUUUUUUUUUCAUAAAAUAAAGUUCGUCAAAAACCUAUCAACAUGUAUUUUGUUUUGAAAAUCUCGACGUGAGAAUCCAACGGUGAAAAUGUUUUAAGAUUUGAACGCAUAGUUUACAAGAUAAAAUAUUUUGAAAAUAUGGAUUUACGAAAAAGGGAAAACUCUCAGGUUACAACAAGUGGCGGACAUGUAGUGCACCAUUUGUCGCAAUCUGAAAAGGUGGAAGUAAUCGUUUAAAGGUAUACUCGUCAACUAGUGAUUUCGGAAGCACACCAGCCAGGCAAUCACGUUUUGCACAAAUAUUAAAGACAAAUAAUCAAAUGAUUUUUAAACUUAGGUUUGAGAUAGCUAUUUCACAUCCGGAUGUGAAAUAGCAAAUCUACACUAUUUUACUCAGAUUCUUUCAUGUUGUGUUUUCAACAAGUUGCUACCUGUUUUUGUUUGUGAAAUCGUAUUUUUCUUACUGAAGAACGUCAAACGUUUGCCCUAUUUUGACCCCAAAAAAAUCUACUGGAUCCUUCAAAGGCCUGACCACUCCUGUUUCUCGGUAAGUAUCAUUUGUCUUGUGUCAUUUGCCUUAAUUCCCUAUGUUUGUCUAAAAGAAUUUUGAAGCAACCUGCAUAUUACCAUUAAACUGACAGUGCCACUCAAGCAUUCUGAAUCAGAAGCCGAUAACAGACAUUCAGAAGCAGCCAUGGAUACAAGAGAAUAUGAUUGGAAGGAUUAGCAUCUUUACUCAUUCCCGGCAGAAUUCAGAGAUAAAUUACAGCCCUUACUGGCUUGUUCAUCGAACUAAUGAAACAGCCACUACAGACUAUGCAAUUACACAAAGGACCCAACCAACAGUGUUCUCAUCCUCGCUCCCUGAUAUGGAACUAAGCAGUGUCAGCUAGUCUACUCCUUCGUGGCCUUCUUCUUGGGAGACUUGGUGUCGGCCUUCUUCUUGGGCGACUUCGCCUCCUUCUCGGCCGCGGCGGGGGACUUCUUGGGGAGCAGCACGGAGUUGAUGUUGGGGAUCACGCCGCCGUGAGCAAUGGUGACGCCGGCGAGCAGCUUGCCGAGUUCCUGGUCGUUGCGGACGGCGAGAAGAAGGUGGCGCGGGAUGAUGCGG
rnacentral:lncRNA from 1 species